rnacentral:ncRNA from 1 species
GGGAAGGGACGGCCCUUCCAGGGAACUACAUCGCGGGACGGCCCG